CCUACGGGGUGCAGCAGACGAGAAUCAUUCACAAUGGGGGAAACCCUGAUGGUGCGACGCCGCGUGGGGGAAUGAAGGUCUUCGGAUUGUAAACCCCUGUCAUGUGGGAGCAAAUUAAAAAGAUAGUACCACAAGAGGAAGAGACGGCUAACUCUGUGCCAGCAGCCGCGGUAAUACAGAGGUCUCAAGCGUUGUUCGGAAUCACUGGGCGUAAAGCGUGCGUAGGCUGUUUCGUAAGUCGUGUGUGAAAGGCGCGGGCUCAACCCGCGGACGGCACAUGAUACUGCGAGACUAGAGUAAGGGAGGGGGAACCGGAAUUCUCGGUGUAGCAGUGAAAUGCGUAGAUAUCGAGAGGAACACUCGUGGCGAAGGCGGGUUCCUGGACAUUAACUGACGCUGAGGCACGAAGGCCAGGGGAGCGAAAGGGAUUAGAUACCCUGGUAGUC
rnacentral:rRNA from 1 species